GGCGACCGGCGGACGGGUGCGUAACGCGUGGGCAACCUGCCUCACACAGGGGGAUAACAGUUAGAAAUGACUGCUAAUACCGCAUAAGACCACGAAACCGCAUGGUUUUGAGGUAAAAACUCCGGUGGUGUGAGAUGGGCCCGCGUCUGAUUAGCUAGUUGGCAGGGUAACGGCCUACCAAGGCGACGAUCAGUAGCCGACCUGAGAGGGUGACCGGCCACAUUGGGACUGAGACACGGCCCAAACUCCUACGGGAGGCAGCAUG
rnacentral:rRNA from 1 species